rnacentral:rRNA from 1 species
UACGAAGGGGCUAGCGUUGCUCGGAAUCACUGGGCGUAAAGCGCACGUAGGCGGAUUGCUAAGUCAGGGGUGAAAUCCUGGAGCUCAACUCCAGAACUGCCUUUGAUACUGGCGAUCUCGAGUUCGGGAGAGGUGAGUGGAACUGCGAGUGUAGAGGUGAAAUUCGUAGAUAUUCGCAAGAACACCAGUGGCGAAGGCGGCUCACUGGCCGAUACUGACGCUGAGGUGCGAAGCGUGGGAGCAAACAGG